rnacentral:rRNA from 1 species
UGACCUCGGAUCAGGUAGGGAUACCCGCUGAACUUAAGCAUAUCAAUAAGCGGAGGAAAAGAAACCAACAGGGAUUACCUCAGUAACGGCGAGUGAAGCGGUAAGAGCUCAAAUUUGAAAGCUGGCUCCUUCGGGGUCCGCAUUGUAAUUUGCAGAGGAUGCUUCGGGAGCAGCCCCCAUCUAAGUGCCCUGGAACGGGCUGUCAUAGAGGGUGAGAAUCCCGUAUGGGAUGGGGUGUCUGCGCCCGUGUGAAGCUCCUUCGACGAGUCGAGUUGUUUGGGAAUGCAGCUCUAAAUGGGUGGUAAAUUUCAUCUAAAGCUAAAUAUUGGCCGGAGACCGAUAGCGCACAAGUAGAGUGAUCGAAAGAUGAAAAGCACUUUGAAAAGAGAGUUAAAAAGCACGUGAAAUUGUUGAAAGGGAAGCGCUUGCGACCAGACUCGCCUUGGGGGUUCAGCCGGCAUUCGUGCCGGUGUACUUCCCCCAGGGCGGGCCAGCGUCGGUUUGGGCGGCCGGUCAAAGGCCCUUGGAAUGUAACGCCUCUCGGGGCGUCUUAUAGCCAAGGGUGCCAUGCGGCCUGCCCGGACCGAGGAACGCGCUUCGGCUCGGACGCUGGCAUAAUGGUCGUAAGCGACC